AUUGAACGCUGGCGGCAGGCCUAACACAUGCAAGUCGAGCGGAUGAAGGGAGCUUGCUCCUGGAUUCAGCGGCGGACGGGUGAGUAAUGCCUAGGAAUCUGCCUGGUAGUGGGGGCUAACGUCCGGAAACGGGCGCUAAUACCGCAUACGUCCUGAGGGAGAAAGUGGGGGAUCUUCGGACCUCACGCUAUCAGCUGAGCCUAGGUCGGAUUAGCUAGUUGGUGGGGUAAAGGCCUACCAAGGCGACGAUCCGUAACUGGUCUGAGAGGAUGAUCAGUCACAAUGGAACUGAGACACGGUCCAGAUUCCUACGGGAGGCAGCAGUGGGGAAUAUUGGACAAUGGGCGAAAGCCUGAUCCAGCCAUGCCGCGUGGGUGAAGAAGGUCUUCGGAUUGUAAAGCACUUUAAGUUGGGAGGAAGGGCAGUAAGUUAAUACCGUGCUGUUUUGACGUUACCAACAGAAUAAGCACCGGCUAACUUCGU
rnacentral:rRNA from 1 species